UACGUAGGCAGCGAGCGUUGUUCGGAGUUACUGGGCGUAAAGCGAGUGUAGGCGGUUUGGUAAGUCGGAUGUGAAAGCCCCGGGCUCAACCCGGGAAGUGCACUCGAUACUGCCAAGCUAGAGUAUCGGAGAGGUUGGUGGAAUUCUCGGUGUAGAGGUGAAAUUCGUAGAUAUCGAGAGGAACACCGGUGGCGAAGGCGGCCAACUGGACGAAUACUGACGCUGAGACUCGAAAGCGUGGGGAGCAAACAGG
rnacentral:rRNA from 1 species